AUUGCUUCUCGGCCUUCUGGCUAAGAUCAAGUGUAGUAUAAUUUAUUAGGCUUUAGUUGUUAUUCAUUUUAUUAUUACAGGUGUUUUUCCUGUUAGAAGAAUAUUCACACACUCUCC
ensembl:snRNA U2 U2 spliceosomal RNA